AGAUGUUUUCUUAUGAGAUAGUAUUCAUGAUUAUUACUGUGUUGACAAGCUUGGGGGGUGUGUUCUUUAGGGAGGCCGUUAAAGAAGUAAAAAAUAUGUAUUAGAUCAUUGAGGACAAUGGGAUUUAGCAGGGGAGAAUGUAGCCAAGUGGAGAAAAUUAACAAAACUUAACGUUGAGCAUAAAUUGGUGGUGGGCCCUUUAAGAAACUGUGUUUGCGACACUUGCGUUGCGGCGCUCCAGUAUGGAACACGUGCGUGGAUUUUAGUGUGAGCAGAGCAACGAACGUAAACUAGUGCUCUGAGUUUGAUGCCGUUGUUCUGAAUUUGACGUUUAUGGGUUGCAUGCGUGAGGUGGAUCGGGUUUGAUCACGUUUGGGACACGUGUAAGGACUGGUGUAUGUUGAUGAGGCUGGUUGUAACCUUCAAAACAGAGGAACACCAUUGAUCUCCAUGCCAGCGUUCGAGUUCCAAGUCAACAUGGAAGCAAAAUUAUGAUCUAAACCAUACAAUAUUUUUUAGGUUGUAUUUUUGAUACUUCCAUUCAUUAAUUUAUUCAUUGUUGUGUAUGUUGUAGACACUUUUUGUACUUAUAAACACUAAAAAUACAAAGUCAGUGACUAAAGAAAUAAUCAGUCCUCAGUUCAAUUCAGUUGUGAAACGUCUGUGAAACACCUUCUGACCAAUCAGAAUCCAGAAUUCACCAGCACUGUGGUGUAAUUGGCUUUUGGAUGUGUAUAUUUCAUUUUGAGAAGAGUUGUAAAUUUUGGAGAUUUUCUUCAAUCAAUAAAGAUUUGUAAAAUAUG